GCAUCCGUAACUCAGUGGAUAGAGUGCCGGCCUCCGAAGCCGUUGGUCGCGGGUUCAACUCCCGCCGGGUGCA
rnacentral:tRNA from 1 species